UAUCACCUGGAAACAGAGAAGGCCAU
rnacentral:piRNA from 1 species